CGGGCAUGCGCAGGGGGAGCGCGGUUGCCUGGGAGACCCUGUUACCUGGGCGCCUGAGGACCAGCAAGUUGGGCUCUGCCACCUCUGUGAUGCCACUCGGCGGGGUCCGGGCACCCAGCGCUGAGGGCCACCCAGGCAGGACUUGCCUCUUCAGCCUGGGCCCUGAAGUUUGAUAAUGAAGAUAUCGCCAAAGGUUAGAAACAAAAUCACCUAGAGGAAGUGCUGGUAGUAUGGCGUGUGGAAGUGCACAAAUCUCUAGAGCAGACAGCUUUGUUAUAGGGACUAUCCAGAUUAUGCUUGGCAUCUUUAAUGUUUUAAUGUGGUAUUUCCUGUUGGUUUUAUAUAUGGGACAAAUUAAAGGAGUCUUUGGGAAAU